rnacentral:rRNA from 1 species
CCUACGGGUGGCAGCAGUGGGGAAUAUUGGGCAAUGGGCGCAAGCCUGACCCAGCAACGCCGCGUGAAGGAAGAAGGCUUUCGGGUUGUAAACUUCUUUUGACAGGGAAGAGUAGAAGACGGUACCUGUCGAAUAAGCCACGGCUAACUACGUGCCAGCAGCCGCGGUAAUACGUAGGUGGCAAGCGCUGUCCGGAUUUACUGGGUGGAAAGGGCGUGUAGCCGGGUUGACAAGUCCGAUGUGAAAUCCUGGGGCUUAACCGAAGAACUGCCUGUGAAACUGUUAAUCUUGAGUACUGGAGAGGCAGACGGAAUUCCUAGUGUAGCGGUGAAAUGCGUAGAUAUUAGGAAGAACACCAGUGGCGAAGGCAGUCUGCUGGACAGCAACUGACGGUGAGGCGCGAAAGCGUGGGGAGCAAACAGGAUUAGAUACCCUAGUAGUC